AGUGGAUGGGGAGCAACCUAGUUGUGCGUGUGUAAAGGUAGUGCCAAGAAAAGCGGUGAUCAUGAUGAAAAUCAAUUCCCGGUACCCGAAACCGACACAGGUGGGCAAGUAGAAAAUACUAAGGGGCGCGAGGUAACUCUCUCCAAGGAACUCGGCAAAAUGACCCCGUAAUUUAGGGAGAAGGGGUGCCACCGAGAGGUGGUCGCAGUGAAGAGGCCCAGGCGACUGUUUAGCAAAAACAUAGGUCUCUGCAAACUCGAAAGAGGAGGUAUAGGGGCUGACGCCUGCCCAGUGCCGGAAGGUUAAAGAAGUUGGUCAGUCUUAGGAUGAAGCUAGCGACUGAAGCCCCGGUGAACGGCGGCCGUAACUAUAACGGUCCUAAGGUAGCGAAAUUCCUUGUCGGGUAAGUUCCGACCCGCACUAAAGGCGUAACGAUCUGGGCGCUGUCUCGGAGAGAGGCUCGGCGAAAUAGGAUUGUCUGUGAAGAUACGGACUACCUGCAUUUGGACAGAAAGACCCUAUGAAGCUUUACUAUAGCUUGGAAUUGUGUUCGGGCUUCCUGUGCGCAGGAUAGGUGGGAGGCGUAGAAGGUAUUCUUGUGGGGAUACUGGAGCCAACGGUGAGAUACCACUCUCAGGAGGCUAGAAUUCUAACUUAAUUAAGGACAGUUUCAGGUGGGUAGUUUGACUGGGGCGGUCGCCUCCAAAAAGGUAACGGAGGCGUACAAAGGUUCCCUCAGACUGGUUGGAAAUCAGUCGAAGAGUGCAAAGGCAGAAGGGAGCUUGACUGCGAGAAGUACAGUUCGAGCAGGGUGGAAACACGGUCUUAGUGAUCCGACGGUGCUGUGUGGAAGGGCCGUCGCUCAACGGAUAAAAGUUACUCUAGGAUAACAGGCUGAUCUCCCCCAAGAGUUCACAUCGACGGGGAGGUUUGGCACCUCGAUGUCGGCUCAUCGCAACCUGGGGCGGAAGUACGUCCCAAGGGUUGGGCUGUUCGCCCAUUAAAGCGGUACGUGAGCUGGGUUCAGAACGUCGUGAGACAGUUCGGUCCAUAUCCGAUGUAGGCGUGAGAAUAUUGAGAGGAGCCUUCCUUAGUACGAGAGGACCGGGAAGGACGCACCGCUGGUGUACCUGUUAUGAUGCCAAUUGUAAACGCAGGGUAGCCAAGUGCGGAGAGGAUAACCGCUGAAAGCAUCUAAGUGGGAAGCCCACCUCAAGAUGAGUAUUCUGGUGUAAGGUCACGGGAAGACGACCCGUAAAUAGGCACGAGGUGGAAGUGCAGAGAUGUAUGAAGCCGAAGUGUACUAAUAGACCGUCGGCUUGACC
rnacentral:rRNA from 1 species